UUGGGCUACUGUUAUGGCAGGGGACCUGCUGAGUGGCUGCUCUCUUUACACCAUCUCAACCAAGAGUCUGGGUUCACUGACAAGGGGCACAAGACUUGUGGCUUUCCUGUGGGAGCACACACACAC
ensembl:snoRNA